rnacentral:rRNA from 1 species
AGGUCAAGCUACAAAGGGCGCAUGGUGAAUGCCUUGGCAUCAGGAGCCGAUGAAGGACGCGAUAAGCUGCGAUAAGCUUCGGGUAGACGCACAUAGUCAGAGAUCCGAAGAUUUCCGAAUGAGGAAACUCACAUGGGAAACCCCAUGUAUCAUAAAGUGAAUACAUAGCUUUAUGAAGGUAUACC